GGUGGCAUAGCUCAGUCGGUAGAGCAGCAGAAUCAUAAUCUGUAGGUCAGGGGUUCAAAUCUCUUUGCCACCA
rnacentral:tRNA from 1 species